UACGGAGGGUGCGAGCGUUGUCCGGAAUCACUGGGCGUAAAGGGCGCGUAGGCGGCGCGGGUAGUCAUCGGUGAAAGUUCAGGGCUCAACUCUGAAUCGGCCGGUGAUACUCCCGUGCUCGAGCACUGUAGAGGCAGGUGGAAUUCCGGGUGUAGCGGUGGAAUGCGUAGAGAUCCGGAAGAACACCGGUGGCGAAGGCGGCCUGCUGGGCAGUAGCUGACGCUGAGGCGCGAAAGCGUGGGGAGCGAUCCGG
rnacentral:rRNA from 1 species